rnacentral:rRNA from 1 species
UACGAGUGCCCCGAGCGUUAUCCGGAAUCAUUGGGCGUAAAGGGUGUGUAGGUGGUAGUGUUAGUCAUUUGCUAAAGCCUGGGGCUCAACCCCAGAUCGGCGGGUGAAACGGCACAACUAGAGGAUGGCAGGGAUGUAUGGAACUCAUGGAGUAGGGGUAAAAUCCGUUGAUAUCAUGGGGAACACCAAAAGCGAAGGCAGUACAUUGGGCCACUCCUGACACUGAAACACGAAAGCGUGGGUAGCGAAUGGG